ensembl:lncRNA
CAGUGAGGUCACAGUGGAGUGGGUAACAGGGCCUUAGACCAGUGUAACUCUUGUCCUUGUAAGACUGAGAUCAUGUGAACACACUCAGGGGGAACCCCAUGUGAUGACAAAGGCAGCUGCAAGCCAAGGAGCACCAAUACGGCCAGCAAGCCACCUGAAAGGAAAGAGAUCAGAACAGAUCUUCCCUCAGUCUUGCCAACAACUGUAUCUCCAAUUUGUAAGCAUCCAGAAUUUGGAUGCUCCUCAACAAGCGCCUUCCGCUGCUCGCUCAAGUUCAGCGAAUUCUUCCAUCAUCAGCUCCUCCUUCUGGUCCUCAACAAGCUCCUCGGUCUGCACCAUCGGUCUCCAGGCCCAGACUCCCGCUCAUGACACAACCUCCUCCACUGCCUGUGCCUCAGAGCCUUCACAGUCACGCUCAGUGACACACUCCGUGCAGUUUUCUCCAGGCCCGAUGGGGACACAGAGCUGUGUUACAUCAUGUCAGACGGCAAUCGACGCGCUGCUAACACAAGCUGACAAGAAGGCCCUAGCAAUCUGCUUAUCUGGAUCCUGCCCUUGCUGAGUAAAGGCCACUAUCAGAAUUAUUCACACGGAAUUACAGCAGCUGGGAGUCUGCAGAGUACUCAUUACAUCACCCUCAGAAAACUAAAGCAGGAAGAAAAUGGAAACUUCCUGUACUACACAGCGGAAGUUUUUGCCUGUUUUGCUGAUUAGGAUGAGACUGUCUGUUUCUGGCACUCAGCUGUCUGCCCUCAUGGGAAUGUCUAUGUGGCCCCUGCACCCGUGUCGAAACCGAAC